GAUGAACGCUGGCGGCACGCCUAACACAUGCAAGUCGAACGGCAACACCGGAAUUUCCUUCUGGUACGGGGGGCCACUCGCGGCCGAGGGAUGAGUACAACGGGAGUUACUUGUUCGUGAGUUAGGUCGAAGCCGGGGUAACGCUGAUUCCGCCUCGGACGUACUGGAGGGAGCAGUCGGUGUUGGGACCUUGCGUGAUUGUGGUUGGCGAUGUCGGAUUAGCUAGUUGGCGGGGUAAAGGCCUACCAAGGCGACGAUCCGUAGCUGGUCUGAGAGGAUGAUCGGCCACACUGGAACUGAGACACGGUCCAGACUCCUACGGGAGGCAGCAGUGGGGAAUAUUGGACAAUGGGCGAAAGCCUGAUCCAGCAACACCGCGUGGGUGAGGAAGGCCUUCGGGUUGUAAAGCUCUUUUGUUGGGGAAGAAAAGCAGGGGACUAAUCCGGGCGGGUGGUGACGGUACCGAAAGAAUAAGCACCGGCUAACUACGUG
rnacentral:rRNA from 1 species